UGAGCCAACAUUUAAAGCCACAUAACAUGGAAACAGUUAUAGCAUAUGUCUUUAAAACAAGGCACUUGGGCCGGGCACAGGUGCUCACACCUGUACGCGCCCGGCCGUCUGUGCCUUUUUUUGUCUUGUUUUGUUGUUUUUUUAGCUAGGUCCCAUUCCUAACAAUGGGGAGAAAAAUCUCUAAGGGAAGGAGGGAAGUGGAAGGAAGGAAAGGAGGGAGGAAGGGCAGUAAAACUGAGAAAGUUCCAACACACACUGCCAAAACCACUGGCAAAUUUCUCAAAAGCAUCCGUUCACGAAUAAGGCUAUCAGUAAGCUAAUUCUAGAAAGAAGAGUUGUCCUAAAGCUCAGCAUUGGGAAAUAUUUCAGAGAAAAACUGCGUGAGUGUUUGAAGGUACAGAUGUCUGACCUACCUGGCCAUUCCAACUCCUACAGGUGCGACUGUGACAGACAGCUCACCACCUCCACUCCCACUGCCCGCUUCAGCCACACGGGGGGUCACCCUCCAAUCAGGGUCAUCCUGUUACUUCUUUUUAAAAUAUACUUUGGGGGUAAAAUCUAACAAUGGAAAUUCAGUCCCAAUUUUCAAGGCCGUUGAUUCUACUCUUUUAUUAUUGAUUAUUCUUGAGCCUCAAAAUAGAUACUAAUAUUCCCCCAGGCUUUUUCUGGGUUGUUGUCAGUUAGAAAAAACAGGCUAGAACAGUGGUUCUCAACUGAGGGCUGUUUUGCCCCUCUAGGAAACCUGUGGCAAUAUUUGGAGAUAUUUGUGAUUGUCAAGAGUGAGGGGCUUAGGCUUGGGGUGCUACUGGCAUCUAGUGGGGAGAGGCCAGGGAUGCCACUGCACAUCUACAAUGCACAGGACAUCUCCCCAGCAAAGGAUGAGCCAGUCCACAUAGCAACUGUCCCAAAAGUGGGCAGCCCUGGGCCACACCCGUCAACUUAAACACUGGCUUCCUUGUGGGCACUGCCCCUAAAUCUAAAGAAAAUAGACUGAAAGAGAAAGUGGGGAGUCAGGAAGAGAGUGGGAAAGGGAGAAAGAGGUGGAGAGAACUGAAAAGACAGAGAGAAGAGGAGUGGCCCACACCAUCUACUUCUGGCAAUAAAGAAGCUGUGGAAUCCCAGUCAAUUUCAUCAUUGUAGAAAUCAUUUGAAUUCCAGAGUUGCCUGAAGCUGAGAAUCCAGGCUCCUAGGGAACUCCGCGCCUUGUGAAGGGGGAAGGCAGCCUGAAAUGGCAGAGGGGGCAGGGGGACUGCAUUUGUCAGCAACCCCCUGCCUGCCCACAGCCCUCCACCAAAAAAAAAAAAAAAAAAACUCCGAGUGACUUCCCUCCAGAGCUGGGCUUGGCCACUAAGGCAGGGAUGUCAGGGGCUGCCCUAGAUUUGGUGGCUCAGCUGUGAGCCCUGCAACGGCGGCUGCAGGAGAUGAAAAACAAAUAUACUUCCUGAAGUCAAAGAGAUAAAAAUACAAUUUCUGCUGCGUAUGCCACUCUCUCAUGCAGCAGCAACACUUAUGUGGGGUGACGGGGGGAGGAGGAUGACCACGCAAGCUUAAGUGAUUUUUUUUUAAACACGAUCCAGAGAGAUUACAUAAAAAGUACAAUUAAGGGACGCUCAGAAUCCCGAGGCCUUCAAGAACGUGCUGCCUCCAGAAUAUUUUUAGAACAAUCACUGGAGUGAUUCUUCUUAGUUGUAGAAACACUCCAAAUCAGAAAGUCAAUUUUUCCUCUAUUUGCAGAAGUGAGCUGGCUCCACUGGACGGAAUGCGUGUGUUUUGCUUGGCG
rnacentral:lncRNA from 1 species